GCGUUGGCAGUGCAAUGGUUAGUACGCGCUCCCGCAAAGAGUGAAAUAUGGGUUCGAAUCGCGUCCAACGUU